rnacentral:lncRNA from 1 species
GAUAAACUAACAAUAAGUUGAACUAGAAGGACAAGCUUACGGUUCAGUAAAUGGUUAAUAAAAAAAAAUUCCUAGGUUAACAUUAUACAUCUCCUUGAUUUGGAAGGAGACUGUUGUGUUAUUAAAAAAAAAAAUCUAAAUUGAAAAUACAACUGAAAUUCACAAGAAUUCACCAUAAAAUUAAUUCAAAUAACAAAAAUAAUUCAGAUUUUUUUGCACCGUUAGUGCUAUGGAAUAAGC